GCCGCCACUGCCGGCCAACGCCGUCGCGCCCACCCCUACCCGACGUGCCUCCAUCCCUGCGAUUUUCCACCGCCGGCGACAAUCAAAGCCGGAUCCGAACCUUCCCCAACUCAUCUUUCCCCUGCUCCUCUGUCGCUGCCGCUCUCCAUCGGCCGACCAACUCCCUCGAGUCAGCGCCAUCUCCUCCAUCUGGUUCCUGCUCGAUCUCCUCCAGGUACAGAUCCUCCACAAUCUCGCGUGACGGGAGAGGAUCCUCCGUGUGCUUCUUGUCGGGCGACAGCGCAGCCCUGCGCCCCUGACGCCGCCGCUCUUCCACGUGAGGAGAUGCUGCCUGCGGCUCGGCCGCCCCAACCCUAGGGCCGACGUCGUGGUCAUCGUCAAGAUCCCCUUCCCCUCUGUCAGCCAUCUUCUCCUCCCCGGUCGACGUCGUCGCCUUCGAGGACGAGGACGACGGUGGUGGCUGCGCGCUUCCCGUCGGCGGAUUCCACCACUACCCCCAGGUUGGGACUGGUGCGCGGGCGUCGACAUCUGUGUGCCCGAGAUCAUCAGAGUUGCAUCAGGCUGGCGCACAUCCUCCGCUACACCCCGACGCUGGAUGCAUCGACCUCAUCCCCUUGCCGCAGGAGAUAGAGGGCCCCCUGGACUGGGACACCGGCGAGAUGGAGGGCAACUUCAGCGCUGACCAGAGAGCCAAGGUGGUGGCCGUGCUCUACAUGGUGCCCGGCGACCUUAACGGCCAGUUCCACGCCAAGAAGAUGGGCUACCACGAGAUGGUCCUGCUCCGCCCCCAGGGCGCCGCUGAGGUGGUCGUGCUGGCUGCCGAAUUCGAUAAUACUCAUAUUUCAUCCCCUGCGUCAGCUCAUUGGCGGAGUUCUUCUCUACAGGUCAGUUUCAUCUUGAGACCUCGGAUGUUUCUCUUGUGAAACCAUAUCUGGGUCUGUACAACAAGAUAUUGGAUCAGAAUGCACAUUGACUAGAUAUGUGUUGAAUAUCAGAGACAAUACAAAAUCGAGUCCAGUACAUCUCAGAUUGUUGUCUGGUUUAUUUUGGAUAAAUUGACAUCAUCCUGGUAUUUAUAUUCAAAGAAGGAUAAAUUAACCUUAUCCAGGUACACAUGAGUAUUUAUAUUCAUCACAGAUUGUUCACAUUUAACUUCAGGUAGCAGAAAAUCAUGCAGCACACACGUUCCAUUAGCCACCUACUUAUGCUUGCAUAUCUUUCCGCGGAGUACUGCACAUCCUGAUCUGCGUCUACUUGACGAGCUGAUGCCACAGAUCAUGUCGAUUUGGUUACCAUUGAGUAGUUGGAGAGCUACCUUAAGACACACGAUGUACCAAUGGUAGUCAUAUAUAUCUUAUAACAGGGCUUUCCUUGAUCAGUGUUGUAUAAAGAUAUGGCCACUGAAUUUGGCGUGCCUGCCUCUUUGUUUUUCCGAAUAAUAUGAGAACUUCUAGCCUUCUAGAACAAGCAUAGUAGCUUAUUUUAACUUUGUCUAAUAAAUAUCCUAUAUGGUCAAUCUAGGAUGAUAUUGGCAGCUCUCCAUUGUACUCUGUCCAUACUACUUUUGCCUUUUUUUUCUUCUGACUCUAUUGCUCUGCUCCAUACCACAACUCUUAAAUUGGACUUUUCGAACAUUUGACAAACAUUAGGAAAUUCAGUCCUGGUACAUUUCCUAGAACCGUGACAUUUAUUUCUUAGUGGAUUUUAAGUUUCAGUCACCCCUAUGGCUAUUUUAAGAAAGAAAGAAAAUAUUAGGUUAUCAAGAAUUUCGCCUCUCCCAUCUCAUUGUGAUUGUGAGCAUGCUCUUCACCUCUGCCAUAUCAUUACCAGUAUGCUCUUAAUGCACUUCAGCAAGUUCAAAUUUCAGUGCGUACUGGAAAUCUCUACCAACUUCUGAGCAAUUCAUUUUGUCAGAAGAUGAUAGUACACGACAGAACACGCCUGCUUCUAGCAAACUGCUGUGUUGUUUCCCUUGGAGGAAAGUGACGAUCUUUCAAGCCAACAACCAGGGGCAUGAGUUCACGUCUUCAGAGAAGAGAUGGCUAUUGAUGAAGCCGAGCUUGAGCCUCUAGAAUUUGCCGAGAAAAUGCACACUCAACGGGAAUUACAACAACAGAAACUGGAGAUGUUAGUUCAAAUUAGAAAACACAAUUCCGAGAGCCAAUCUGUCAUACUUGAGACUUUGCAGAGGCAGUUGGAGAGUGCUGAUUUCGAUACCAGUGCAUCAAUAUUCACUCCGGAGCAGAUCCAAGGGAUUGUUGAGAAAUACUCCAGUUCACAUAUUUCAAGAGAUGUGCAGAUGGGGGACAUGAAAGGAACGAAGGAAAGGGAACGGAACGAGCGAAGAAAGGCUGGGCUGGCUCCAAUGGAGCUAGGACGGCGUGGAGUCAGCAGACGGGGGAGCGCAGGCGCUAGGCAGCGAUCACGGGGCUCCACGUCUACCGUCGGGGCGGCAUGCUCGAUCUGCAGAGGACAUGACGAUGACAGGGAGAAACAAAAAGGUUACAAAUUCAUCUAAUUUCAAUGAUCAUGAAGAGGGGAACAAGUGAUAUGUAUUCAAAUUUGUGGUCUUUCGUCUGCCCAUGAUCUUUCUGUAGUACAAACAUUCUUUUUCAUAUGCCUGCAACAUUUGCGUUGAAUUUAUAUGAUGUUGCUCCUUAAUUAUUUACACUGAUUGAUGUACAGCAAUAUGAGUGCUGCCCUCUAGAGGAGCAUCAAGCUCUAACACUAUGCGCUUGCUCAAGUAGAUCGAGAGCAUCAACACCCGAAGGAGAUAUGGAGGGAGAGAAAUAAGUAUUAUCCCCAUUAUUGCAAUGCACAGGCUCUUUCUUUCUCGUUCUAGAAUUUUUAUAACUGCAUUUGGGUGGACUAUUUUGGUUUUUAAGUGACAUUAAUUACAUUUCAUUAUGCUAAUACUUACUUACCUUUUCUAUUUGUUGAGACCAAAUUUUGAGAAUUAAACCAGUAGUGAAUUCAAUAGAAUCUGAGACGCCUAUAACCUUUGUGCAGGUCUGACAUGAAUAAGGCCGGUCGGUUUUGCAAGAUUGAAAAUGGUGUAUCAUGGCGCAACAAUCAUGAUAUCGAUCAAAUGGACGAAUCACAUCACAAGAGAUACAAGACCUGUUCCUGAUUUACGAAAGACAAAACUUGACACUGGAGCAGUGAGCAAUACCAACGCUUCGGCUGCCAACACUCUCAUGGAGCUUUCUUGGACGUCAUCAAUUUCUUCAGCUAGGAGACCGAUGAGUUUCCGGAUGAUUAGGUGUGACCUUUCUAUCUCCUUUCUCGCAGUGUCAUUUGAAGCUAGGCAUGCAAGGAUGUCUGCUGCUUGAGCAAGCAUCUGUGGUUCACUUUCAGGAUGAUCUAUGAAGAACUUGCCAAUAUUCCUUAUGGUGUACAUAUUACUAGACACUUGGCACCUGAGCUCCUCGCCGGUCUCACCAGCUGUGCUCACAAGCUUGCGCAAGACUUCUAGUUCUUGGCAUUCUUCACCUCCGCACAGUUUUCUGGAUUAGUCAGGAGGUUGUCGAGAAUAUCCACACCAAGCAAUUUGAGCUCUUUGCUUGCACAGGUUGAAUUGCUGGAACUUCCACUGGUCUUGGUCCUGCGUGCGCUAAGCAGUGAAGAAAUAGAUUGAAAAAUACCAGGAAAGUUCUCGACUUGAAGGCCAGGUGCGAGCUCCAGCAGUAUGCGCGCAGCAUGCCCUCUGGUGUCUUGUUCCACCUCUCUGUCCAAGCCCAUCAUGUAUACUGCUUUCUCGACGGUAUCAAGAGAAGAUCGAAUCUUGACGCAAUGAAGACAUAACAAUGCAAGCAAUGAGUGCGGCUAGCUGCACUUGUCCAAGGACACUUGAGAAGAGGACUGCAAAGCAAGAUCUACCAGAUAUGAAGACACCUUUUAACUCGUGCAAUGCCAGAAGCUUGUCACUUAAGGACUCUGCAGGGCUUGCAUGCCUCCGCCAACUUCCACGCCCGAGGACCGCAAUUUUUUCCGCUUUUAUCAUUGUUUCAGGUAGGCGAAGGAAGAACUGGUCCUCGGCUUUCACAUUGUUAAAAAGCCUGCCAAUUGAAAAACAAAUUAUAUAUGCAAAAUAAAGCCGGGAUCAACAUAUAAUCAUUGAUGUAGUGAUCUUUAUAAGGUUGCCCAUAAUGAGAGUAUUAUAGCUAGUA